ACAAAAAUCAACACGCGAAAAGGAGCGGGGAAAUAAGAGGAAACGCCGCCAGCUCGCUUCCUUUUCGCGAAGUAUGCCGGCAGUAUGGUCAAGACUGCGCAGAAUCGUAGGCAGCUUUGCCAUGAAAUGCAUCCGCCAGCACUCCGAUCAAGCUGCGUUCCUGUUUUGCUGAAGGAGGGACUGAGGUGAUCGCCCAGAGCUCUACGGGAAAGGGAUCUGUAAACCUCUUCAGGGGCCUGGGUCGUGAGCGACAGGGCUGCCCUGGUGCAAAGGUCCAAGGUGUAUGCUUGAAGUCAAAUGCCAGUCCAGUAGACCUGAGCCACCUGUGGAGAGGGCUGUAACAAUGUCAUGCCACGUCCAGUUAUUGGAUGGAUGUGAGCUGGCUAAAACCCAUGAGGAUUUCAACUUCUGUUAAAUGGAAUGCAAAAUAAAAUUGAUUUUUAAAGGUU